UUUUGUCAUAGUUUGUCAAAGCCCAUGUUAUAAUGAACUGUGGUAAUUCUUCAUAGAUGAGAUUGUUCUCGGUUUUGAAUUCAUCUAUAUUUCACUGGAAGGCACAAGCUCUGCCUCCAUGCUAGGCACUUGAAUCAAAACAUACACUAGGGUUUUUAUACCUAUUAACACCAUAUAUAACUCAUAGUUUUUGCAAAGGAGAUUGUCUUUAAGAAAAUAUGAGACUUUUUAUUAGGUAUGUGAAUAUAAGCAAACAACUGCUAGAGAUGUUGAAACAUGGCUCCAAAUUAACUGUAGAAAUGAUAUUUAAAUACACACUUAAUAAAAAACAAUGCAUCACAGACAUCAAGCAUCUAUGCAAACAGGAAGUACCAAUGGAAAGGUGCUAAAUUGCUCAAGUGCAUUUGAAUAUCCAAAAUCAAAUCACAUGGUCAAAGACUUCAGACCACUGGGUCUGUUCUCACCUCGCUGAAGUUGCUGCACAAACAUGAAAAUAAUUAUCACACGCAAAAUUAUUGCGACUAAUGGUUUGUCACACAAACACUUAGUCAGGUUUUAGGCGUCUUUAUGCGAAAUGAAACAGCACAAAAUGUCGAAAUCUAAGAAAACUAUUUCACUACAAAAUUUGAUUUGGGCAAAAUGUUCAAGGUUGUACACAAACUACAGUUGUGUUCUAUUUUACAUGCAUCUGCAUCAUUUAGUUCAUAAAAAUAUUUAUUACAAAAUUGUACCUAACCGUCAAGUGUGACAGUUGCUUAUUUACAAAUGUGUAAUGUGAAGAUUAUCUCCAUGUUC